GCGGUAGCCAGACCAGCUGACAUUCCUCUUGCCUUGGCUCAGCUGUUCCCUUCCUGCUCUGUGUCCAAAUUCUUUCUUUCUCCUUUCUUUCUUUCUCUUUUCUUUCUUUCUUUCUUUCUUUCUUUCUUUCUUUCUUUCUUUCUUUCUUUCUUUCUUUCUUUCUUUCUUUCUUUCCUUUCUUUUCUUUCUUUCUUUCUUUCUUUCUUUCUUUCUUUCUUUCUUUCUUUCCUUCCUUCCUUCCUUCCUUCCUUCCUUCCUUCCUUCUUUCUUUCUUUCUUUCUUUCUUUCUUUCUUUCUUUCCUUCCUUCCUUCCUUCCUUCUUUUCUUUCUUUCUUUCUCUCUCUCUUUCUCCUUCCUUCCUUCCUUCUCCCUCCUCCUCCUCCUUCUUCUUCUUCUUCCUCUUCUUCUUUCCCUCCCUCCCUCCCUGCCUUCCUUUCUCUCUUUCUCUCUCUCUCCUUCUUCUCCCUCUCUCUCUCUCUCCUUCUCUCUCCCUCUCUCUCUCUCUCCUUCUUCUCCCUCUCUCUCUCUCUCCUUCUCUCUCCCUCUCUCUCUCCUUCUCUCUCCCUCUCCUUCUCUCUUUCUUUCUUUUUUUGACAGAGUUUCACUCUUCUUGCCCAGGCUGGAGUGCAAUGGCCUGGUCUUGGCUCACUGCAACCUCUGUGUCUUGGGUUCAAGCGAUUCUCCUGUCUCAGUCUCCUGAGUAGCUGGGAUUACAGGCAUGCGGCAACACGCCCAGCUAAUUUUUGUAUUUUUAGUAGAGAUAGGGUUUCACCAUGUUGGCCAGGCUGGUCUCGAGCUCCCGACCUCAGGUGAUCCGCCCACCUCUGCCUCCCAAAGUGCUGGGAUUACAGGCGUGAACCAUCGUGGCCUGGGCAAAUUCUACCUUUCCCUUGAGAAAAGCAAGAAAACCGAGGAAUGCAAGUCCUGUUAAAUGAUCAGACCCAGAGAGACAUUGAAGUGAGCCAGCCCUGGCAUCCUCCUUCACCCCCAGCUGCACAUUCAUCUAUUGAAGCUGCCUGCUGCUGCCACAGGUCAACACCGUCACCACUCAACUGAUAUCUUACUGCUUUUAUGAAGCCUUCCUUGAUUCCUCCGGCGGGGUGAUACCUCUCAGUAUCUUCCAUGUAGGCUGAGCAUGUUUCCCCAGCUGGAGGAGAGGGUUUCCAGGAAGAGCCUGUCCCAAGGAAGAAUUUUUCUGCUUUGGCCUGGCAUGACCUACCACAGGGCUUUAAGCCUUCUGAAGGAAUGAGCAGCAUUUCUCACCUCCUCUCAAGGACAGCCAGGGCUCUGUGUUCCGAGAGCUGGACUUCCCUCGCCCCAGGGGAGAAACAAGUAUAGGCUUGUUUUGGGGAGGAGCUGGUUUAUCCAAGAGCUGGAGGACUUUCAGGUUGAAGGAGAAGGGAGGUCCAUCCUGAGAAAGAGUGAGAUGCCUGCACAGGAGGCUGAAGUGGUGCCAGGCUCUUUGUGAGUGGAGACCUGCGUGUACUCUGCCUCCCUACAGUGGGCUGGAGGUUGCAGGACCUUGGGUAGGAUGAGUGUGGAGAUGUCUGUGGCUUGAACAGGAACACUACCUCCCUUCCUGGCUUGGAAGAAGGAUAUUUGAAGCCGCAGAGUCUUCCCAUUGAGCAUCAAAGUAAUGAGUACAAGGCACUGAAGAAAGGCGGCCCUUCCCCAAGUUUCCUGGAUUGCGUAAACCCCAGGAUGUUUUUUAUGACCUGAAAGGAAUUAAAAGUGACUUAAGAGGCUGAGCCAGGUUUAAGCUCAUUUAGAGAAACAAAGAAAUGGGUUGUUUCUUGUGCCCAAGAGUUAUGGACUAAAUUCAUACUGUUUACAAGUUCCUCCAAAGGCUUAAAAUUCACAUCCAGUCAGCCCAUAACCCCUCCCCGGCUGUCGUCCCAUGACACACACGUGGAAGACCACUUCUCGUCUUCAUCUGUGAUUCCCCCAAACAUAACAUAGUUGGACUUUCCGUUUGGAAAGUGUUUCUUCUUUAAGGCAGCCAAUUUAAAACUAAAUUUUAG
rnacentral:lncRNA from 1 species